rnacentral:rRNA from 1 species
CCAGGUCUUGACAUACUCGUGCUAUCCUUAGAGAUAAGGAGUUCCUUCGGGACACGGGAUACAGGUGGUGCAUGGUUGUCGUCAGCUCGUGUCGUGAGAUGUUGGGUUAAGUCCCGCAACGAGCGCAACCCUUAUUACUAGUUGCCAUCAUUAAGUUGGGCACUCUAGUGAGACUGCAGGUGAUAAACCGGAGGAAGGUGGGGAUGACGUCAAAUCAUCAUGCCCCUUAUGACCUGGGCUACACACGUGCUACAAUGGAUGGUACAACGAGUCGCCAACCCGCGAGGGUGCGCUAAAUCUCUUAAAACCAUUCUCAGUUCGGAUUGCAGGCUGCAACUCGCCUGCAUGAAGUCGGAAUCGCUAGUAAUCGCGGAUCAGCACGCCGCGGUGAAUACGUU